UUUAAUGCUGACCUGUGUCUCUGAAAAAAGAAACCACUCUGGGAAUCCUUCCUUGAAGAUGUACCUUAAACAUAUGGAUGUGUCUUUUGCUGGACUUUUAGCUAUGACACGUCCAUGCUUUGCUAGCCAAGCCUGAAUUAUUAAAUGAUGAUAUGGGUUAUGUCUACAGAGGACCUAGGACCUCCUUCUGAAAUGCUAAUAAAGCCAGCAGGAAAGAAUUCCUUAGGUUUUUCACCUGGACUUACAUUCUUGAGUUCAGAAAUUCAGGUUGUGGAUACACAUGAAAAAUUGAACCAAGCCAAGAAACCUGCCAAAUGAUGCUGAAAUUCCUGCAACUGGACAGUUCAUCAGGCAGAAGAUAUUAGAAAAACUGGCAGCCAUAAUCGUGUGGGUGGAGACUUGUUCUGCUCACUCGUCCUGGAAGUGCUGGGCACAGCCGAGCUGACAGCCCUGAACAUUGCCCAAUGUGCUGUGACUGGCAUGAGCUGCCGCUUCACUGCUCAUCUUCAUCCUGCAGUCUAUGGCCACCUCACCAUGCACUGUCCCUGGGAACAGCUCGAGAGAAGGAACAGGAGCCAAUUGUGAGCUCAGUUUUAGGGACUGCAAAACCACCCAACAGCAUUAUUCUCGCUGUA